rnacentral:lncRNA from 1 species
AAAAGCAUUAUCACUCUCUCGAUAGAUAGAUAGAUAGAUAGAUAGAUGGAUAGAUACAAUGUGCUGUUCUUAUAAAAGGUGGAAAGUAUGGUUUAGGUAUAGAGCAUCUCUUAUACAAGACAGUAAAUAUCCAGGUGUGCUCCAGGUAGGAAGAGAGGGCAGAGAGAACAGAGAUGCAGCCAGGCAGCAGAUUGCUUCCUGCUCUGGUCUGACUGUAAGGCUGUACCUGCACAGAGCAUUCCCUUUCAUGGCCCUGCUUCUGUAUCACAUUUCAGAUCGGAUGUUGAGAAAGUUGUUAGCAGUGCUGUCUCAAAACAGAAAGAGGUUUUAAACAGACUCAGAGAGGAAAUGACUGUACAAGCCACUAGAUCUGUCUGAAACCAGCAGAGAUGUGGACUCCAAGCUGACGGUGAAAGUCUGACUGAAAACAGAUUUAAUCUUGGUUGGUUUUUUUUUUUUUCCUUUUUCCUUAUAUGUCAGGGAUUCCUUUGAAGUGGAAUAUGGAUUUGUGAUAGACAACUCAAUUGAUGUAUUUAUUCACACUUGUUAAUGUGAAGUAGGAUUACAUUCAGAACCGGGACUGUUUAGUUUGGAGAAGAGGAGGCUCAGGGGAGAUCUUAUCACCCUCUACAAGUCCUGAAAGGAGGUUGUGGUGAGGUGGGGGUCAGCCUCUUC